AAUAUGAUAUCCUGGAUUUGUUUCUCCUUUUCUUGCUGGUUACUCACUAACAAUGUAGCACUAUAUGGUCUUAAAAAAAAAAAGGUACUCAUAUUAAGAUGUCAGUAAUAGGAGAAACUGGUGGCAGGUGUAUAAAUUAACUUUGUACUUACUUCACAACUUUGUAAAUCUAAAAUGGUCCUAAAACCAAAGUUUAUUUUUAAAAUAUGUUACCCAGACUUUCAUGUUCCCUCUGUCCUAAGGGCCUGCUGUAUAUUAUGCAAUUCUGGGAGACAUCAUUCAUAGGAAAUUCAGUAUGGGUGGCCUCCUCUGUGAAACAUUGCAUGAGUUGAUUACAGAUCCUCAUUGGUUUGCUCUGGAUGGAAAAGUUGGACUGAAUCAGCCACUAGCCUUUUUUUUUCCUUCAGAGAGAACCAUGAAAAGCACUUUCCCUCUUGUCAAUAGCCAUCAACCCAACUGCAUAUGAGUAGGGGAAAUAGAGUUCUUGGGGGCCUAUAGAGGCUCUGGCCUGCACUCCACACUUUGCUCACCACUGACCCCCUGGUUAUGGGGUACAAACCUCAGCAUAGUAGGAAUGGUCCCUGUGGACCAGGAGAUAUGGGCAUUGCAUUAAGAUCAGCAGUAGUAGCUUUUCUGAGCACAUUGAAGGCUCUUUCGAACAUCUGAAGAGAUGCCACAUUUCCCAGCUUGCUUGAGCAAGAAGCUGAAAGAUAAAAAACUUUUGUUGCCUCUUCUGAAAACUUGGACAUUUAACAGAAAUAUGUAAACAAAAUAUUAAAGUCUCAUAAAAUGUGAGACCUUCUCUUGGCAUUUAGUUCAUAAAUUAUGUUCCACCAGAGGUUUAGAUCAUAAAGUUUCCCCCUUCCAGACCAAACUAAUGGUCUUUCACUUUCUGUUCCUAUAAAUUAUAAACUCCAGAUGUGUAAAAUUAUGUAAUGAAAACCAUAUAAAAUGAAAUUUGUUUCUGAAAGAACUUCAUAAAUUUCUUGUUUUUCUGGAGUUUAUUGGUCUUAUUUUAAUGGGACAGAAGAAAAAUUAACCUUUCAUGUUUUCACUUUUUGUUACACUGUAGGGAGACCCUGAACUGAGAAGGCAAAAAGGGAAAAUGCUUUUCUGGAGCUGUUGUUUUUUCAGAGGAGGUCAGCUGCUGAGAUAAGCCUCUUGCUGAACCAAAUGUAUGUUUUUUUAUGUUUGGUCUUGGAUCUUAUCUACAUACAGCAGCAGCAACCAUAAUAACAAAUGAAGUUCAAAGAGAUGCAACUGCUGUUUCAGUCUCUCACCCCAACAUUUUCAGAGAGCUCUGUAGAUUUGGUCAUUAUGGACAUUCCUAAUCAAACUCUUUAAAAGCCACCAUUUCCUACAGCCUUUCUGCAGAGCAACUACUAUUUGUAAGCAUUGGUAGAAUGGUGUGUGGUAUGUAAGUGUAGGUACUAGUUAUGCUACUAAGGCAUCCUUUAAGACUAUCCUUUAAAGGUUCUCAACAUAUCUAAUUUUCAAAUUAGAAUAAUUUGCAAUUAUUUGCCGUUUAUUUCCUAAGUUUACUGUUCAUGAAAGAUAUGGCUUUUAGGGUGCAAAUAAAUUAAAUAGAUGCAAUGUGAAUGGUACGUAUGGCAAUUAAAGAUUGUUUUGUUCUUUUUUGUAGUGGGUAUACUACAGGUAGGUGGUACUGAUUGCAAGAGCUAUGCUAAAGGUAGUUAAUAAGGAGGAACAUUUAUAAGGCUUUCAGAGUUCCCUAGAAUUAGAUGGAAUUCAUAGACCAACAUUGGUUUUCCUGAAAAGAACCUAUUCAAAUUCUCAGUCAUAUUUCGUCCUCCUCAGGAUGGAGCCUGUCAGUAUGUGAAGGGCAUUGAGGGGAUAGUGUUACUGAUAGAAAUUGGCAUGAUAGAAGAGAAAGGGACCAGAAUUCCUAGAAUGAAAGCUUAUUGAAUGCACUUAACUUCUGUGAAUUGCAUUCUUGCCCAUCCAGGCCUAACUUCCCACUCCACCUAUCACACCACACUAGCCCUUCACACACACACAGUACACACACAUACACACACACACACACACACACACACACACACACACACACUAUAGGGAGACUUGUGAAGCUCUGCUGGCCAGAACUAGCUCCUGGCUGCAAUUUGUGCUCCAUAUAGCCUUCCAGCCUAGCCCCUUCGCAUUGGGUACUUCAGAUUUCUUCUCCAGGUACCAAAGAGAGUCCUUUCCCUAAAAUCAGAUUGGUUCAACCUGGUAAUUUAAUCAUUUCACAGAUGGUGGGUUUCAUCACAAAGGUUUCCUGAAAAAAAAACCAAUCCAAUCCAAUGAUAUUAUUCAUUAUGUUACAUGUAAGACUAUGCUACCUAGCAAAAGUUACUGACAGGUUAGAAAACACCAAAAACACCAGUUCAGUUGUUCACAAAGCUCCAGAUCUGACCACAGCACUCUACAUUCUUUUAUAGAAACUGGAGACAUCUGGGCUUUUUAAAUAUAUAUCAAAUAUUUAUAAUACAUAAGAAUUUCUCUACAGAUAACCAAGCUAUCUAAUAUUAUUUGCAGAAGGUCAUAAAAUCAUGGUCACAUAAUGAUUAUGACAUUGAUAAUUCUUUUAGAGUAAAAGAUUUGUACUAUGUGUAUUGUUUCUUUAUACCUUAAAGUACAUUUUAUGCAAGUAUGCCUAAUAUAAGCAAAUACAAAACUCAAGAAUAGGAGUAUCAGCAUAAAUACAUUUGGGGUUUUAUUGGUUGUAUUAAUGCUUUCAUGAUUAAAUUAUGGAAAUAUAUAAAUUCCUACAUACAAAUGCAUUCAUAUACUUUUUUUUUAAGUUACUGAAAAGUACUUGGCUGGGAUGUAGCUUAACUGAAACUUGAAGAGAUUGAAAUUAUGGCAUAUGCAAAACCCUGGUUUAAUCCUCAGCAUUGAACAAAAACAAAAACUGCAAUACUUGUAACAACAAGCUACAAUAGUAAUAAAAAAACAAUAGCUAAAAUGGAACAUGCUAUAUGUCAAGAUUUUACUAGGCCUUUACAUGGAUUGUUUCCUUUAAUAUCACAGCAACCCUAUGAGAGUCAUUAUUAUUGUCUCCAUUUAAAAGACAAGAAACCAAAAGCUGGAGAGUUGAGUAAUAAUUUAAAGUCACACAACUGGUAUAAAAAAAAAAAAAAAGUGGCAAAUCCUAGUCUGAAAAUAAGCUCUAGUUUAUCCCAAUGUACAUGAGUUUUGCUGUACCAAACCUUUUUCCUGCAGGGCUGGCCUCACUUUGUAGACUCUCAUCAUAUAAGAAGUGGCACCCUGUGGUCCAAACAUAACAGGUUUCCCUAGGUAAAAUUAUCUGAGGAAGAGGCUGGCAUAUUUUCCAACUUGAUAAUAUUCUUUAAAAGUAUGUCCUAAAUGAGGUAACUCUCCAAAAAGCAGGUUAUUAAAAACACAACAGUUAAGCUAUAAUUUACUUAUCCUUUAUUUUUUCCUAAAAUGAUUCUGGCUUCCUUUGCCAGGAUUAAAUGGAAUGUUUCUCCUCCCCCCCCCCCCACCCCCAGCCAUCGUGAAUUUGUUUUUGCUUCAAGUAGAAAAGCUCCCUGGCUGUGUCUGUGGUCCUGUGUUCCCAGGUGCUUUGCUCUAUGCCAGUGGUUUUUGAAUCCUUCAUUAAAGAUACCCUGGCUGGCUAAAACUCCCUUAUUCAGGAACUUAAGAACAUACUACAGGGAAUAGAA